rnacentral:ncRNA from 15 species
CCGCUUAAAUAAUCGUGAGCCUGUUUUACUGCUAACUCAAACUUAAAAGGGAAUUGGGACAAUAGCUUGUGGUAUUAGUUUAUCGCUUAUAUUUAUGGCGUUAUCAGACUGAGUCAUUAGCUUUUAAAAGCCCAAACUGUGCCCGCAACUGUGAGUGAUUUUUAAAGACGUUCCUAGACAUUUUCAGCUACAGCCUAGAAGCUUCUUUAACAACACCAGUCAGGAUACCUACCUCAUUUUGUCGCGAUCAU